rnacentral:snRNA from 1 species
AUGCCUUAAACUUAUGAGUAAGAAAAAUAAUGAUUUGGGGUGACACCCGAGUCCUUACUGCUAAUGUGAGAUGAAAUUUGGGUGGGUAAAGGUUGCCCUUAAGGUGACCCACCUACUUUGCAGGAUGCCUGGGAGUCGCGAUCUGCCCA